rnacentral:rRNA from 1 species
CCCUUAGAUGUUCAGGGCCGCACGCGCGCUACACUGAAGGAAUCAGCACGUCUUUCUCCUUGUCCGAAAGGACUGGGUAACCCGCUGAACCUCCUUCGUGCUAGGGAUUGGGGCUUGUAAUUCUUCCCCAUGAACGAGGAAUUCCCAGUAAGCGCGAGUCAUAAGCUCGCGUUGAUUACGUCCCUGCCCUUUGUACACACCGCCCGUCGCUACUACCGAUUGGAUGGUUUAGUGAGAUCCUCGGAUUGGUCCCGGAGCGGCCUCUGGUCGUGCCGGAGUGCCGAAAAGAAUGUCGAACUUGAUCAUCUAGAGGAAGUAAAAGUCGUAACA